rnacentral:rRNA from 1 species
GCGGCGUGCCUAAUACAUGCAAGUAGAACGCUGAAGAGAGGAGCUUGCUCUUCUUGGAUGAGUUGCGAACGGGUGAGUAACGCGUAGGUAACCUGCCUUGUAGCGGGGGAUAACUAUUGGAAACGAUAGCUAAUACCGCAUAACAAUGGAUGACACAUGUCAUUUAUUUGAAAGGGGCAAUUGCUCCACUACAAGAUGGACCUGCGUUGUAUUAGCUAGUAGGUGAGGUAAUGGCUCACCUAGGCGACGAUACAUAGCCGACCUGAGAGGGUGAUCGGCCACACUGGGACUGAGACACGGCCCAGACUCCUACGGGAGGCAGCAGUAGGGAAUCUUCGGCAAUGGGGGCAACCCUGACCGAGCAACGCCGCGUGAGUGAAGAAGGUUUUCGGAUCGUAAAGCUCUGUUGUAAGUCAAGAACGGGUGUGAGAGUGGAAAGUUCACACUAUGACGGUAGCUUACCAGAAAGGGACGGCUAACUACGUGCCAGCAGCCGCGGUAAUACGUAGGUCCCGAGCGUUGUCCGGAUUUAUUGGGCGUAAAGCGAGCGCAGGCGGUUUGAUAAGUCUGAAGUUAAAGGCUGUGGCUCAACCAUAGUUCGCUUUGGAAACUGUCAAACUUGAGUGCAGAAGGGGAGAGUGGAAUUCCAUGUGUAGCGGUGAAAUGCGUAGAUAUAUGGAGGAACACCGGUGGCGAAAGCGGCUCUCUGGUCUGUAACUGACGCUGAGGCUCGAAAGCGUGGGGAGCGAACAGGAUUAGAUACCCUGGUAGUCCACGCCGUAAACGAUGAGUGCUAGGUGUUGGAUCCUUUCCGGGAUUCAGUGCCGCAGCUAACGCAUUAAGCACUCCGCCUGGGGAGUACGACCGCAAGGUUGAAACUCAAAGGAAUUGACGGGGGCCCGCACAAGCGGUGGAGCAUGUGGUUUAAUUCGAAGCAACGCGAAGAACCUUACCAGGUCUUGACAUCCCGAUGCUAUUUCUAGAGAUAGAAAGUUACUUCGGUACAUCGGUGACAUGUGGUGCAUGGUUGUCGUCAGCUCGUGUCGUGAGAUGUUGGGUUAAGUCCCGCAACGAGCGCAACCCCUAUUGUUAGUUGCCAUCAUUCAGUUGGGCACUCUAGCGAGACUGCCGGUAAUAAACCGGAGGAAGGUGGGGAUGACGUCAAAUCAUCAUGCCCCUUAUGACCUGGGCUACACACGUGCUACAAUGGUUGGUACAACGAGUUGCGAGUCGGUGACGGCGAGCUAAUCUCUUAAAGCCAAUCUCAGUUCGGAUUGUAGGCUGCAACUCGCCUACAUGAAGUCGGAAUCGCUAGUAAUCGCGGAUCAGCACGCCGCGGUGAAUACGUUCCCGGGCCUUGUACACACCGCCCGUCACACCACGAGAGUUUGUGACACCCGAAGUCGGUGAGGUAACCUUUUGGAGCCAGCCGCCUAAGGUGGGACAGAUGAUUGGGGUGAAGUA